rnacentral:rRNA from 1 species
CCUACGGGGGGCAGCAGUGGGGAAUAUUGCGCAAUGGGCGAAAGCCUGACGCAGCGACGCCGCGUGAGGGAUGAAGGUCUUCGGAUCGUAAACCUCUGUCAGCAGGGAAGAACGGUCACUGUGCUAAUCAGCAGUGAAUUGACGGUACCUGCAAAGGAAGCACCGGCUAACUCCGUGCCAGCCGCCGCGGUAAUACGGAGGGUGCGCGCGUUAAUCGGAAUUACUGGGCGUAAAGCGUUCGUAGGCGGUAUGUCAAGUCAAGGGUGAAAUCCCCGCGCUCAACGUGGGAACUGCCUUUGAAACUGGCAAACUGGAGUUUGUGAGAGGAUAGUGGAAUUCCAGGUGUAGGAGUGAAAUCCGUAGAUAUCUGGAGGAACAUCAGUGGCGAAGGCGACUAUCUGGCACAUAACUGACGCUGAGGAGCGAAAGCGUGGGUAGCAAACAGGAUUAGAUACCCCUGUAGUC